rnacentral:rRNA from 1 species
CGUAGGGGGCUAGCGUUGUCCGGAAUCAUUGGGCGUAAAGAGCGUGUAGGCGGCCCGGUAAGUCCGCUGUGAAAGUCGGGGGCUCAACCCUCGAAUGCCGGUGGAUACUGUCGGGCUAGAGUGCGGAAGAGGCGAGUGGGAUUCCUGGUGUAGCGGUGAAAUGCGCAGAUAUCAGGAGGAACACCGAUUGCGAAGGCAGCUCGCUGGGACGUAACUGGCGCUGAGACGCGAAAGCGUGGGGAGCAAACAGGAUUAGAUACCCUGGUAGUCCACGCUGUAAACGAUGGGCACUAGGUGUGGGGGGUGUCGACUCCCUCCGUGCCGAAGCUAACGCAUUAAGUGCCCCGCCUGAGGAGUACGGCCGCAAGGCUAA